AGACGUGUGCUCUUCCGAUCUGGUGGAUGCCUAGGCUCAAGGAGGCGAUGAAGGACGUGGGAAGCUGCGAUAAUCUGCGGUUAGGCGCAACCGGCCAUUGACCCGCAGGUCUCCGAAUGGGACAACCCGCCGCCGAAAGGCGGCAUCACGCAUUGAGCGUGAGGCGAACGCGGGGAACUGAAACAUCUUAGUACCCGCAGGAAGAGAAAACAACAGUGAUUCCCCCAGUAGUGGCGAGCGACCGGGGAAGAGCCCAAACCGUCGGCGUUUCGGCGCCGUCGGGGUAGUAGGGCCGCAAUGUCGCACAAGCACCGUUAAGCGGAACGGACUGGAACGUCCGGCCAUAGCGGGUGAAAGCCCCUUACGCGCCGUCGGUGCUGGCGUAGCGGUUCCCUGAGUAGCGCGGGGCACGAGAAACCCUGUGCGAAUCCGCCGGGACCAUCCGGCAAGGCUAAAUACUCCCUUGAGACCGAUAGUGAACAAGUACCGUGAGGGAAAGGUGGGAAGCACCCCGUCGAGGGGAGUGAAACAGACCCUGAAACCAUGCGCCUACAAGCGGUCGGAGCACGCAUGUGCGUGUGACGGCGUGCCUUUUGCAUAAUGAACCUACGAGUUGCCGUCGCCGGCGAGGUUAACCGUGAAGACGCGGGGAGCCGGAGUGAGAGCGAGCCUGAAGAGGGCGCAUAGUCGGCGGUGGCAGACGCGAAACCAAGUGAUCUACACUUGGCCAGGGUGAAGUCCCGGUAACGCGGGAUGGAGGCCCGAACCGAUAAGCGUUGAAAAGCUUCCGGAUGAGCCGAGUGUAGGAGUGAAAGGCCAAUCAAACUUGGAGAUAGCUCGUACUCCCCGAAAGGCAUUUAGGUGCCGCGUGGGGUGUUCCGGGCGCGAGGUAGAGCGACCGAUAGGACGCGAGGGCUUCACCGCCUGUCAAGUCCUGACGAACUCCGAAUGCGCGUCCGCAGAAGCCCUGCAGUAAGGGGGCGGGUGCUAAGGUCCGCCCCCGAGAGGAGAAGAAUCCAGACCGCCGUCUAAGGCCCCGGAAUUCUGCCUGAGUUAGUCUAACGAAGUGUGCCCCCUGGGACAGCCAGGAUGUUGGCUUGGAAGCAGCCAUUCAUUCAAAGAGUGCGUAACAGCUCACUGGUCGAGGGGGCUCGCGUGGAUAAUAAUCGGGUAUAAGGCAGAUGCCGAAGGCGCGGGAUAUCGAAAGAACGUAUCGGUAGGGGAGCAUUCCAGGUGCGCAGAAUGCAAGGGGCGACCCAUGCUGGAGCGCCUGGAAAGGCAAAUGUAGGUAUGAGUAACGACAAGGGGGGCGCGAACCCCCCCCGCCGCAAGGCCAAGGUUUCCCGGGCGAUGCCAGUCAUCCCGGGGUAAGUCGGGCCCUAAGCCUAAGCCGAAUGGCGAUGGCGAUGGCAGACACGGUUGAUAUUCCGUGACUGCCCGUGCGGGCGAUGCGGCAACGGAGAAGUGACACCGCCGCGCGCAGACGGAACUGCGCGUUGAAGGGUGUAGGCGUCGAGGGGCGCAGUCAAGCACACGCCCCGAGCCGAACCUGAGAGUACGGCGCUCCAUUCGUGGAGGGCCGAGAGUGCGGGUAAUCCGGCUCCCAAGAAACCCCGCUAAGCUUAACCGCACGGGCACCCGUACCGCAAACGGACACACGUGGCCGGGUAGAGCAUACCAAGGCGUUGAGAGACUCAUGGUCAAGGAACUAGGCAAACCAGCCCCGUAACUUCGGGAGAAGGGGUCCUCCCCCUGUGGGAGGCGCAGCGAACAGGCCCAGGCAACUGUUUACCAAAAACACAGGGCUGUGCAAACUCGAGAGAUGAAGUAUACAGCCUGACACCUGCCCGGUGCCGGAAGGUUAAGAGGAGGCGUCACCGCAAGGGAAGCGCCGAGUUGAAGCCCCGGUAAACGGCGGCCGUAACAAUAACGGUCCUAAGGUAGCGAAAUUCCUUGUCGGGUAAGUUCCGACCUGCACGAA
rnacentral:rRNA from 1 species